GGCAGCAUGGUGUAGUGGUUUUAGUGUUGGACUACCACUCUGGAGACCUGGGUUCAAUACCCUGCUCUACCA
rnacentral:tRNA from 1 species